CAGAGGGUGCAAGCGUUAAUCGGAUUUACUGGGCGUAAAGCGCGCGUAGGUGGCCAAUUAAGUCAAAUGUGAAAUCCCCGAGCUUAACUUGGGAAUUGCAUUCGAUACUGGUUGGCUAGAGUAUGGGAGAGGAUGGUAGAAUUCCAGGUGUAGCGGUGAAAUGCGUAGAGAUCUGGAGGAAUACCGAUGGCGAAGGCAGCCAUCUGGCCUAAUACUGACACUGAGGUGCGAAAGCAUGGGAAGCAAACAGGAUU
rnacentral:rRNA from 1 species